rnacentral:rRNA from 1 species
CUUGGAAGCAGCCAUUCAUUUAAAGAGUGCGUAACAGCUCACUAGUCGAGCGGCUGCGCGUGGAUAAUAAGCGGGCAUCAAGCGUACCGCCGAAGCUGCGGAUUCAUCCCGCCUAGGGCGGGAGAGUGGUAGGGGAGCAUUCCGGCUGCGCGGAAGCCGGCACGCGAGGGACGGUGGAGCUGCCGGAAAGGCAAAUGAAGGCAUGAGUAACGAUAAGGCGGGCGAGAAACCCGCCCACCGAUAGGCCAAGGUUUCCUGAUCAACGCUAAUCGGAUCAGGGUUAGGCGGGGCCUAAGGGGUAGCCGGGAGGCGGACCCGAUGGACAGCCGGUCAACAUUCCGGCCCCGCCGCGCGCUGCGAGAGGGGGGACGAAGGAGUGAAAGGCCCGCCCGGUGACGGAUUACCGGGUUGAAGGGGGUAGGUAAACGCCGGGGUUAAGCGCUCCGGGGUGCCGAGCCCGACAGUACCGCGAGCCCUCGGGCGAGCGGAUAGCGGCCCUAAGCAUACUUCCGAGAAAAGCCCCAGGAGCACCAGGCGCGCGGUGCCCGUACCGCAAACCGACACAGGUGGCCAAGGAGAGAAUCCUGAGGUGCUCGAGUGAAUCACGGCCAAGGAACUCGGCAAACUAGUCCUGUAACUUCGGGAGAAGGGACCCCUGCAGCGAUGCAGGGCGCAGAGAAAUGGCCCAGGCGACUGUUUACCAAAAACACAGGGCUAUGCGAAACCGAAAGGUGAAGUAUAUGGCCUGACACCUGCCCGGUGCCGGAAGGUUAAGGGGAGGGGUUAUCCUCGGAGAAGCCCUGAGCUGAAGCCCCGGUAAACGGCGGCCGUAACUAUAACGGUCCUAAGGUAGCGAAAUUCCUUGUCGGGUAAGUUCCGACCUGCACGAAUGGUGUAACGAUCUGGGCGCUGUCUCAGCCAUGAGCUCGGUGAAAUUGUGGUAUCGGUGAAGACGCCGAUUACCCGCAACGGGACGGAAAGACCCCAUGCACCUUCACUAUAGCUUAACAUUGAGAUUGGGUACAGGAUGUGUAGGAUAGGCGGGAGAUGUUGAAGUGGCUUCGCCAGGAGUCAUGGAAUCAACCUUGAAAUACCGCCCUUUCUGUAUUCGGUUUCUAACUCCAUGAUGUGGAGGACAUUGUUUGGUGGGUAGUUUGACUGGGGUGGUCGCCUCCAAAAAGGUAACGGAGGCUUUCAAAGGUAAGCUCAGUACGCUUGGUAACCGUACGCGGAGUGCAAUGGCAUAAGCUUGCUUGACUGUGAGACCGACAAGUCGAACAGGGUCGAAAGACGGACAUAGUGAUCCGGUGGUUCUGUAUGGAAGGGCCAUCGCUCAAAGGAUAAAAGGUACGCUGGGGAUAACAGGCUGAUCUCCCCCAAGAGCUCAUAUCGACGGGGAGGUUUGGCACCUCGAUGUCGGCUCGUCACAUCCUGGGGCUGGAGAAGGUCCCAAGGGUUGGGCUGUUCGCCCAUUAAAGUGGCACGCGAGCUGGGUUCAGAACGUCGCGAGACAGUUCGGUCCCUAUCUGUUGUGGGCGUUGGAAGUUUGAGUGGAUCUGACCUUAGUACGAGAGGACCGGGUUGGACAGACCUCUGGUGAACCUGUUAUGCCGCCAGGUGUACGGCAGGGUAGCUACGUCUGGAAUAGAUAAGCGCUGAAAGCAUCUAAGUGCGAAACUAGCCACGAGAUGAGACUUCCUUAUAGGGUCGUAGAAGAUGACUACGUUGAUAGGCCAUAGGUGUAAAGGUUGAGAGACCAAAGCCAAGUGGUACUAAUAGCCCGAAGCUUUCUCAA